rnacentral:snoRNA from 1 species
AUUUUUUCUUACACAGGUCAUACUUCCAUCACAGUAAAUGUUUACAGUGGUGACAAUGAGACCUGUAACAUUU